CCGCAUGCGAGCAAUCGCUGACGGGGGGACCCCAAGUGCCACUCUUAACGGGGUGGCUUUUCUGAAGUGUAAAAAGCUUCAGGAAUAAGGGCUGGGCAAGACCGGUGCCAGCCGCCGCGGUAACACCGGCAGCUCAAGUGGUGGCCAUUUUUAUUGGGCCUAAAGCGUUCGUAGCCGGUCUGAUAAGUUUCUGGUGAAAUUCUACAGCUUAACUGUGGGAAUUGCUGGAAAUACUAUCAGGCUUGGGGUCGGGAAAGGCUAGAGGUACUCCUGGGGUAGGGGUGAAAUCCUGUAAUCCUGGGAGGACCACCUGUGGCGAAGGCGUCUAGCUGGAACGAACCUGACGGUGAGGAACGAAAGCCAGGGGCGCGAACCGGAUUAGAUACCCGGGUAGUCCUGGCCGUAAACGAUGCGGACUUGGUGUUGGGAUGGCUUCGAGCUGCCCCAGUGCCGAAGGGAAGCUGUUAAGUCCGCCG
rnacentral:rRNA from 1 species